AUCUCUCUCCAUCCCUCUCACACACCCACUGAACCUGUAGGCCUACUGCGAACCAUCUCUUUAACACCUGCAGAACCUGUAGAUCCACUGCCGCUGACCACCUCUUAGCCACUUUCCAGAUUUCAUAUUAAAGUUUGCUCCAAUCAGUGGGACCUUAGCUAUUGCUGGUAUUCCUAUAAAGCGGGCUAGUUUACAAGAAGUAGCAACCUUGUGAAGAAAGUUGGGUUAUACUUGGU